GAGCCCGACUGGAGUAAUGAGAACUGCUAAUUCCUCACCCCCAUGGUUCAAUUCCAUGGCCCGCUCGU
rnacentral:tRNA from 1 species